rnacentral:rRNA from 1 species
UACGUAGGGUGCGAGCGUUAAUCGGAAUUACUGGGCGUAAAGCGUGCGCAGGCGGUUUUUUAAGACAGGCGUGAAAUCCCCGGGCUUAACCUGGGAACGGCGCUUGUGACUGGAAGGCUAGAGUACGGCAGAGGGGGGGUGGAAUUCCACGUGUAGCAGUGAAAUGCGUAGAGAUGUGGAGGAACACCGAUGGCGAAGGCAGCCCCCUGGGCCGAUACUGACGCUCAUGCACGAAAGCGUGGGGGAGCAAACAGG